AUUGAACGCUGGCGGCAGGCCUAACACAUGCAAGUCGAGCGGAUGAGGAAAGCUUGCUUUUCGAUUCAGCGGCGGACGGGUGAGUAAUGCCGAGGAAUCUGCCUGUUAGUGGGGGAUAAGUCGGGGAAACUCGGGCUAGUACCGCAUACGUCCUACGGGAGAAAGGGGGGGAUCUUAGGACCUCACGCUAACGGAUGAGCCUAGGUGGGGUUAGCUAGUAGGUGGGGUAAUGGCUCAACUAGGCGGCGAUCCGUAAGUGGUCUGAGAGGAUGAUCAGCCACACUGGAACUGAGACACGGUCCAGACUCCUACGGGAGGCAGCAGUGGGGAAUAUUGGACAAUGGGCGAAAGCCUGAUCCAGCCAUGCCGCGUGUGUGAAGAAGGUCUUCGGAUUGUAGAGCACUUUAAGUUGGGAGGAAGGGUAUUCACCUAAUACGUGGGUACUUUGACGUUACCAACAGAAUAAGCACCGGCUAACUCUGUGCCAGCAGCCGCCGUAAGAC
rnacentral:rRNA from 1 species